rnacentral:rRNA from 1 species
GACGACGCUGGCGGCGUGCCUAACACAUGCAAGUCGAGCGGGGUUGAAGCGAGAGGUAACUCGAACUUCUACCUAGCGGCGGACGGGUGAGUAACGCGUGGGCAACCUGCCUCAAGGUCUGGAAUAACAGCCCGAAAGGGCUGCUAAUACUGGGUAUGCUUGUGGCCUCGCAUGGGGCUAUGAGCAAAGGGGAAACCCGCCUUGAGAUGGGCCCGCGUCCCAUCAGCUAGUUGGUGAGGUAACAGCUCACCAAGGCGACGACGGGUAGCCGGCCUGAGAGGGUGACCGGCCACACUGGGACUGAGACACGGCCCAGACUCCUACGGGGGGCAGCAGUGGGGGAUCUUGCACAAUGGGCGAAAGCCUGAUGCAGCGACGCCGCGUGAGCGAAGAAGGCCUUCGGGUUGUAAAGCUCUGUCUGGAGGGACGAAGGAAGUGACGGUACCUCCGGAGGAAGCCACGGCUAACUACGUG